UAUGGGGAUUACAAUUCAAGAUGAGAUUCUGGGUGGGACACAGCCAAACCAUAUCAAUGGUCAUGUACUACAUUUAGAAUUUUGGAAGGUAUUUAUGGCGGGAUACUGAAACUGUUUUCACGUACCACAGCAGAGUCUGAAGGGCUCAGUUUGAAGAACUGGAUUCCCAACCUCAGGAUCGAUUUGGCCAUAUGGGAGGUCAGCUGGAGAUGAGGGAGACUGAAAAUUGGAGAUAACCCCAGAGAUGACGGGCAGGUUACCCUCUGUCCUCAGAUGGGAGGGGAGGUGGCUGGGGAAAGGAUUCCAACUCUGAGUUCUAUUGUGGGAAGGUGAGCAGAGUCAAGCUCUGUGGCUCAGUGGAACUUAUUCCUGCCCACAAGCUCAACAUCUCCACCUCUGCCCCCAGCAGUGGAGUUAUGACAGCAAAGGAGACAAGGUGAAUAGGGAUCACCCCAGAGGAUCAGUAUGGGAUGAGGCCAGCCGGUGAAUCACCCACGCUCCCAAGGAACCCACGCCACAGGAACACACACCUCCAGGUUUCUCCCAUCUCCGUAAGAUCUUGAGGACCUUCAACAGCACUUCAGCAAAAAACAUUUUCAGGUUUCCUCAGAACUCAGAUAACGUGUCACUCUAGUCACCCUGAAGAUUUGCCUCUUGAAAACAUAAUCGCCGUGCAGUAAAGAGGAGACCAAAAUAGAACCACAUACAGCUGCCGAAAAGUGCUGAAGAAUAUGGCGCUAAGGAGAGAAAGACACCACUAGCCAAAGGCAAGUGGAUCAAAAAGCAACCCCCUACAUUGGACAUUCUUGUUAUUUUGUUGUGGUGGUGGUGGUGGUGGUGGUGGUCAUUGUUGCUGUUGUUGAUACAGGGACCUGUCUAAAUUCUAUAGUAUUUAAUACUGUAUUCAACAAAUAUUUACUGUUGAAUAUUUAUUGAAUACAAUAUUCAACACUAUGUGCCAGGCAUGAUAGAGGCCUGGACUGAGUAGCGACUCUUUGGUAUGAACCAGAUAUAACUUGCACGAUGUUUCACAAGCUGGUUUGGAUGUUAUUAGCUUAGUGUGUCAUUUACCCCAUCCCUACUCACACCCGAAACAUGAUAUUUUGUGGAGCUAAAAAAAAAUACCUCAAACAAAUCACUUCCUCAAACGGCAACCUAAUCUCUGCUUCCUUAUGGCGGGGUCUCUUGACUUGCUUACACUUCCCCACUUUCUACUGGUUCCUCAAAUAACUGAAGUCGGUUCACAUCAUUCCACUGAAACUGCCUUUCUAAUUGCAAAAUCUAAAGAGUCCUUUCCAAUACUUAUUUCAAACAGGCGUCUCUGGGUCUUUUUCAAACUCCCUCCCACUAAUGCCUUUCAGGCAUCCUCCCCAGCUUAGCCUCCCCUGGGACCAGCUUCCUGCCAGUCCUGAAAUGCCCACAUACACGGGGAAGAUUCCUGCUUCCACAUGACCAGCCCCCAGUGACAUCUCCCUCAGACUCCAGACCUCGUCUUUUUUUCUUUUUCUUUUUUCUUUUUUUUUUUUUGAGACAGGGUCUCACUCUGCCA
rnacentral:lncRNA from 1 species